rnacentral:rRNA from 1 species
CGGGACUUAGUGCCGACGCUAACGCAUUAAGCACUCCGCCUGGGGAGUACGACCGCAAGGUUGAAACUCAAAGGAAUUGACGGGGGCCCGCACAAGCGGUGGAGCAUGUGGUUUAAUUCGAAGCAACGCGAAGAACCAUACCAGGUCUUGACAUCCCGAUGCCCGCUCUAGAGAUAGAGUUUUUCUUCGGAACAUCGGAGACAGGUGGUGCAUGGUUGUCGUCAGCUCGUGUCGUGAGAUGUUGGGUUAAGUCCCGCAACUAGCGCAACCCUUAUUGUUAGUUGCCAUCAUUAAGUUGGGCACUCUAGCGAGACUGCCGGUAAUAAACCGGAGGAAGGUGGGGAUGACGUCAAAUCAUCAUGCCCCUUAUGACCUGGGCUACGCACGUGCUACAAUGGUUGGUACAACGAGUCGCAAGCCGGUGACGGCAAGCUAAUCUCUGAAAGCCAAUCUCAGUUCGGAUUGUAGGCUGCAACUCGCCUACAUGAAGUCGGAAUCGCUAGUAAUCGCGGAUCAGCACGCCGCGGUGAAUACGUUCCCGGGCCUUGUACACACCGCCCGUCACACCACGAGAGUUUGUAACACCCAAAGUCGGUGAGGUAACCAUUUAUGGGG